rnacentral:rRNA from 1 species
AUUGAACGCUGGCGGCAGGCCUAACACAUGCAAGUCGAGCGAGCGGCGGACGGGGGAGUAAUGUCUGGGAAACUGCCUGAUGGAGGGGGAGAACUACUGGAAACGGUAGCUAAUACCGCAUACCAUCAGAUGUGCCCAGAUGGGAUUAGCUGGUGGUGGGGGUAACGGCUCACCUAGGCGACGAUCCCUAGCUGGUCUGCGAGGAUGACCAGCAACACUGGAACGGAGACACGGUCCAGACUCCUACGGGAGGCAGCAGUGGGGAAUAUUGCACAAUGGGGGCAAGCCUGAUACAGCCAUGCCGCGUGUGUGAAGAAGGCCUUCGGGUUGUAAAGCCCUUUCAGCGGGGAGGCGUUACCCGCAGAAGAAGCACCGGCUAACUCCGUGCCAGCAGCCGCGGUAAUAC